UACGGAGGGUGCGAGCGUUGUCCGGAAUCAUUGGGCGUAAAGGGCGCGUAGGUGGCCCGGUCAGCGUGCGGUGAAAGCUCGGGGCUCAACCCCGAGUCGGCCGUGCGAACUGCUGGGCUUGAGCACUGUAGAGGCAGGCGGAAUUCCGGGUGUAGCGGUGGAAUGCGUAGAGAUCCGGAAGAACACCGGUGGCGAAGGCGGCCUGCUGGGCAGGUGGCUGACACUGAGGCGCGACAGCGUGGGGAGCAAACAGGAUUAGAAACCC
rnacentral:rRNA from 1 species